CCAGGAAUCUUGGGCAAUGGGCGAAAGCCUGACCCAGCAACACCGUGUGAGUGACGAAGGCUCUAGGGUCGUAAAGCUCUGUUGAUAGGGACGAAGGGCGAAGGGUUAAUAGCCCGGAGCUUGACGGUACCUUUCGAGGAAGCCCCGGCUAACUACGUGCCAGCAGCCGCGGUAAUACGUAGGGGGCGAGCGUUGUCCGGAAUUAUUGGGCGUAAAGAGCGUGUAGGCGGUUCGGUAAGUCUGCCGUGAAAACCUGGGGCUCAACCCCGGGCGUGCGGUGGAUACUGCCGGGCUAGAGGGUGGUAGAGGCGAGUGGAAUUCCGAGUGUAGCGGUGAAAUGCGCAGAUAUUCGGAGGAACACCAGUAGCGAAGGCGGCUCGCUGGGCCACACCUGACGCUG
rnacentral:rRNA from 1 species